rnacentral:lncRNA from 1 species
CUUGCUUCUGCGCUGGUGUUCAGAGACACAUCUGUGCAGUCAGCUGCUGACCGUGUGGCAGCUGAGGUAAAUCUCAUUCAUCUUCCCACAGGGGAGCUCGCUCAGGGAGGUACGCACCUCGGCUGAGCUCUCUGAGGCUGGCCAUUCUGCUCCAAGGGUGCUUCCCUCAGCUUUCCUUUAUUUUAUUUUAGUUUUCUGACCAAGGAAAACCCCAAGAAAAAACUGCUAUUUCUCUCAAGUUUGUUUGAAAGGAAGAAUUCAAAGUAGUGCUAAUUAAUACUGACUACUGCUCAGGUCAGCCACUGCUGCAGGGCUGAAACACUGAAGUGGGUUAAUCCCAGGCUGGUUAUCUUCUCACAGAGAACAGUAGAAAUACAGUCCUCAGCUGUACAGUUUCGCAGUCGUGUUCUGCACCUGAAUAAACUACCCUUCAUAUUAGAAUAUCUGUCACACGCAGCUAGAAAGGUAAACUUCAGCUGAUUUUAUACUUCUGUCUACCUCUCUUUUAUCAUUACUGCCUGCCCAUGUAAUAUCCCCUCAAUAUUUGUUAGUAUUGC